rnacentral:rRNA from 1 species
UACGUAGGGGGCGAGCGUUGUCCGGAUUUAUUGGGCGUAAAGAGCGUGUAGGCGGCCAGGUAGGUCUGCUGUGAAAACUCGAGGCUCAACCUCGAGACGUCGGCGGAAACCAUCUGGCUAGAGUCCGGAAGAGGAGAGCGGAAUUCCUGGUGUAGCGGUGGAAUGCGCAGAUAUCAGGAGGAACACCCGUGGCGAAGGCGGCUCUCUGGGACGGUACUGACGCUGAGACGCGAAAGCGUGGGGAGCGAACAGG